rnacentral:sRNA from 1 species
CUGGUCUCUAACUCCUGACCUCAAAUGAUCCGCCUGCUUGGGCCUCCCAAAGUGCUGGGAUCACAGGCAUGAGCCAUCAUGCCCGGCCUGUCUUUAAGUUUUAUCAUUUAUUUGUUUUGGAAUCUGCUAGCAAGUGAAUCUCACAUACUUGUUCUAUAUUAUAUUAUGUAAUUUUCUAAUAGAUGCUCUAGAAUUUCUCAUUGAUGCUUUUAUAUUUUGUAAUUCUCUAAUGGAAGCUCUAAAGUUCCUCACUUAUGCUUUGAUUAGUUGUAUCAUGCGAGUUAAAAACUAUAAUUUUGUAACAUACUCAAAUUGAGAGAAUAAAAUAUUCAUAUAUUAUCCAGAAUCCAUAUUUGCUUCAUUUGUUUUUUAACCCCUUUAAAGUAUUUUAAAGCAAAUCUCAGUCAGACCUUGUCAUUGUCUUUGUGUAUUUCAGUAUAAAUUUGUAAACAUAAAAAGUAUUUUUUUUUGCAUGAUCACAGCA